GGCGAGUUUGAUCAUGGCUCAGGACGAACGCUGGCGGCGUGCUUAACACAUGCAAGUCGAGCGAGGCCCUUCCUUCGGGAAGGUGUCCUAGCGGCGAACGGGUGAGUAACACGUGGGCAACCUGCCCCUAGCACUGGGAUAACCCCGGGAAACCGGGGCUAAUACCGGAUACGACCUCGAGAGGCAUCUCUCUUGGUGGAAAGGGUUACUGGCUAGGGAUGGGCCCGCGGCCUAUCAGCUUGUUGGUGGGGUAACAGCCCACCAAGGCGACGACGGGUAGCCGGCCUGAGAGGGCGACCGGCCACACUGGGACUGAGACACGGCCCAGACUCCUACGGGAGGCAGCAGUGGGGAAUAUUGCACAAUGGGCGAAAGCCUGAUGCAGCGACGCCGCGUGAGGGAUGACGGCUUUCGGGUUGUAAACCUCUUUCAGCUCCGACGAAGCGAAAGUGACGGUAGGAGCAGAAGAAGCACCGGCCAACUACGUGCCAGCAGCCGCGGUAAUAA
rnacentral:rRNA from 1 species